rnacentral:lncRNA from 1 species
AGUGCAUCCCGCCCUAAGCCAGCGGGGCGACCUCACCUUCAGAGACCUCAUCUGCGGGGCUCCCACCUGGCUGGAUCCCGCGCCCGGGGGUCCGGGCGCCGUCUGGAGCUGAGCAGGCAGAUGUGCGGGCGCCGAGGGUGGGGCGAGGGCUGGGGGCGGGCAGAGGGAGGGGAAGGACGGGCUCGAGCGGGACCUCCCAGGGAAACUGAGUCAGUCUGGCUGUGACCAGGGGCGGGCCCAGCAGAGGACCCACACAGAUGGAGGGCGUGGCGGCACAGGACGCCCUGGGGUCGCGGCCUGGAGGGGUCCGCGGGGGCUAAGCCGAGCUGGGACGGGUGGGGGCCGCUGGCAGCCCGCGGCUCGCUCUCUCCGUCCAGUCUCUGUCUCCCGCUGUCUCUCAUCAGCCCCGCCCACCCUGCGCUGGCCACGCCCCUCGGGCCCGGGCCUGGCUGACUUGGAGUCAGUGGGUGCCCCCCGCACGCCGGGACACCCUACAGCCUUCUGGGGAAGGCGGCGCCCUUGGGACCCCCAGGCCACCGGUGGCAGGGAUGCAAUGGCCCGCGUAGGGGUGGCAGGGGCGCUUCCUCGGGAGCCUCAGCCCCUCCAGCCGCCCAGCGCCCUGCCAGGCCUCUUCCCGGCGCUCCCGCCGCCAGGCCCGCAUUAUUCACCAUCUGGGCAGCACCCAAGGCCUGGAGGGGGCGGGGCAGGUCCAGGCGGAUCGGCUCCCGGGGGUCGCCCAGACUCCAGGGCUCCAAAUUCACUGGGUGCGCUGGAACGCGGCACACAGUAGUAGUAUGCCCUGCUUAAUACAUACAGGACAUAUUUGAGGCCCCUUCCAGGGGUGGGGUGGGAGGACAGAGGGAUGGGGGGUGCACCAGACGACACAGCCAGACUGAGAAAGGUGGUCCCAGAGCAGAGACAGGGACCUCGACGCAUCCUCCAUACCCGCUGCGGGGAAAUGGACCCCACCAGCCAGCACGGGGAGGAAACUGAGGCCUGGCGAAAGAAAGAUGCGGCCUGAGGUGGGACGUGAACCCGCGGCCCUGCAGCCCAGACAGCGGCCCCGGAGUGACCACCAGCUUCACCGAAGCCCCUUUACUGUGCCCCCGAGGACACCUGCCUGCCGUUCCCCAGGGCCGUCACCGCCGAUAGCGGUAGCGCUUGAAGUGAAACCACAGCUGGAAGAUGCCGUUGGCAAACUGGCAGCGGAAGCCGUGGCGGUGCGAGUAUUCCCACUCGCGGUUGACGAUCUUGAAAGCGAUGUCCUCGUAGGGCGGCCCCGCGUGGAAGCGCAGGAUGGCGAAAUCCUUGUUGUCGGCGCAGGCCUCCAGGAAGUACUCGGGCGUGGAGCGCUUGUCGAUGAGGUCGGGGUAGAAGAUGUUGAACUUGUAUCCCUGCACGAUCUUGGGCGGUGGGUUGUCAAAGUCGUAGUGCGUCUGGUUGUACUUGUUCCACUCGAAGCCCGUGUGCACGCGGUUGAAGAAGCGCGGCUUGCGUGGCCGGUACUUGUCGGCCCACAGGACGGAGGCUGCCCAGGGAGUGCUCGGACAGCGGCCGGUAAAAGCUUCCACCACCUGUGGCCCCAAGGCCAGUGGGCCAGCAAGCCCAGGAUGAAUGAAGGAACGCCCCAGUGCGCGUGCAGGUGACGGAAUGCACGCUCAGAGACCCGGGGGAGAAGCAGCAAGCAGCUCCCCACUGACGCCAGCGGCUUCGGCCGGGAAAUGAGGCUGGAGAAGCCCCGCCCCCAGCUCGCCCCACUGGCCCCACCCCCUGGCCUCCAGCCCCGCCCUUACCCGUGACCUGGAGCUGCUGGCGCGAGAGCUGCAGGCGCUGCAGGUCCUCAUCCGGUUCCAGCACGUGCGCGUCCAGUGGCAGCUCGUGCGCCGUGAGCAGCCGCGGGCUGUACCUGCCGGCGUCGUAGUCGUCCAGGCUCUGCUGGAUCAGGUCCUCCUCCAUGAGCACCGCCUCGCCCUCGCCCUCGCCCUCACCGUCCCCGUCGCCGUCGCCCUCUGUCGGGGUCGCGCCGUCCACCUCGGCCUCCGCGGGGCCGCCCUCCGAGGAGGGCCCGGGCGGGGUGGGCGCCGCGUCCUCAGGCUCCAGGCUGGGAGGAGAGAGCGUUGGAGGCGCGGAGGCUGCCCACGGCCCCUCCAUCCUGCUCCGCGUCUGCAUCGGCGUCCCCGGGGUGCCGGCCGGGCCUACCUGCGGCUGGGGGACUGGGGCUCCUGCUUGAGGAUGGGGAACAGCGGCUCGCUCUCCACGCCCUGCUCCUGCUUCAGUUUGUACAGCUUCUGCCGCAGCACGUCCUGGUGGCGCUCACGCAGCCUGGGACGCAGAGCCGGGGUCACCCGCAUGGAGGCGAAGGGGCUCCGCGCCCCACCCCCACCGAGAUUCUCACGCCCCUUAUUGCUGCAAGGACCCUGAGAAGGUGGCGAGCAGCCACGGCUCUGGCUGGGACCUUUGCCCAGGCUUGGUCAGUUCAGGGUCAAGGCUUAUGGGAGAGAGGACGAGAGGACGCAGGUACCCUGGUGAACCAUCCCAUGGCAGGGAGAGGUGGGUCUCUGUCUCACGCUGCAGUCUCAGUGUCUUGUGGCUGGGGCUGGCCAGGAGAAGGGGCCCAGCAGGACACCAGCCAACAAGCAUGAUAAAUUUAGAGACAUUUACAAAUU